rnacentral:lncRNA from 1 species
AAAAGCUGCUUAUACAGUGUUUGUUAAUAAGGCCCGUCCUCCUUUGCUUUUUAGAGAGAUUUUUGCAAUAAAAAGUCAUUUUCUCUUAAAAGAAAGGAAGAACGGCCUCCAUCCGAAAAGUCAUUUUCUCCAGAUGAAGAAGUUAAAAAUUUCUCAUUUUCUUCAGCUUGAAGUGCUUUUGGCUGAUAAUUGACCUUUUUAACAUGGUUAAACGUUCUUUCCUUUGCUGGUUCUUUGGAGCUGUAUACCCAUUUUUUUCACAUUUUCGCUUUCAAAGCUCUUUCCUGUUUUUUGUUCCUCUUCCACUGGUGAGUUUCUUUUCUUCUUCUUCUCUUUAUUUAUUCAUUAUGCUUUGUUUUUAGUUGCUUUUUAGUUCCUCUUCCGCAGGUUAACUCUUCCAACAAAAAAAAAAAGAGGGAAAAUUCUGGCUUUUGUGCCUCUUUUUCUGGAUUGUUAUAAAAUACUCUUAGGGAUGAUACCUAUAGGUUGGACAUAAAUUGCUUCAAAUAUGUGAGUUUAUGACCAUUUAUCUGCCUCAUCUGUGAAUUAGAUUCUAUUAUGAUGGUAUAUGGUUGAGGAAUGUGUUUAUGGAAGAACUAGAAUAAAGGUCCUAAACAGGCAUAUAAUGCGUAGGGUAGCAGCUUCUUAGUUUCCUCUGCUCAUCUAUGAUCUUAUUAAGAGUUUCAAGCUGUUGAUACUUAAGCUGGUAUUUCUUGAGACAAAUGAUUUCAACUAUGGCUAUUUUUAGCAGUUUACCCGGCAUUUUUGCUUCCUCUAGGAUAUGUGCAGCUUUUUCAUUUAUGCUCGUAUACCAUAUAUGCUACUGGCUCAAAUUCCAUAGACUUUGAGGUACCCUUUCAAGUUUGCUGUACUCUCUUGCUUCAUUUACCCUGAACUCUUCAUGGUGUUGUUACUUAACAGCACUCAAAGUCUGCAUUGUAUUCUCCUCAAUCGGAAAACUAAUUGACUAUCUAGCCCUCCUAAAAUUAGAUUAAGUCCUAUUUUCUUAGCUAGGUAUGAGGCGGUGAUCCUCUGUCAACAAAUUCUUUUAUUUGUUGGCUGUGUUUUGCAAAAGAUUUCUAUUUUGCAGAAUUGAUUGAAAUUAAAUAUGUUGCUCUCAAUUUUGUUGGUGUGAUGUACCAUUUGCUUUACUGAGUGAAAUUAAAUACUGAUGUACCAUGUUGCUCUCAACAAAUUCUUCUCCAUAAAUUAAGCUUAUUCAUCUCCAAUCACCACUGCCAUGACAAGGUGCAGCAGGUGUUGCUUGUACUAGUACUCCAUGAAAAUAGUGAAUCUCAUCAUGAAUUUUCUUGGGAUUGCAAUCAUUGUUUACUCCCUUUGGCUCAAUAAUUUAAGAGAUUCAUAAAUGAGUGUUGCUUUGUAGUAGUAAUAAUAAUAAUAAAAUGAAAAGGUAAAGCAACAUAAAUAAUCCAUUAGAACCUACAAUAGGCUAUCACGCAUGCAAAGGAUUAACAAGUUACAUAAGCUACAUAAGCAACAUAAAUAAUCCAUUGGAACCUACAAUAAGCUACAUAAGCUCUCUUGGUGUCUAUUUUCUCUUUCCAAAUCUGAACCUUGCUUAGAAUUAACAAGUUCAUAGAAUCACUCGUAAAGAAUGAUUGAAUGAGACUCGCCAGUGUCUUACCUUAAUGUGUUAUGCCAUGUUUUCCCUUGGUGUUUACCUUAUCCUAGAUUUUUCAUUCUGUAAUCCUGGUAGGUUAAUAUCGAGGCAGACAGCCUCAUCCACAUUUUUUUUGACCACCUUAUCUAAACUUGUUAUUUUGUUAAGUAAGUUGGUCAGGGUUUGCAUGUUUUGAGAUAAUGGGAUGUUUUGCAAGGUAUGUGUUGCUGUCAGAAGUUUUUGUGGACUCCAAUGAAAGCUUUUUGGUAUAUCGGCUAGUACUGGCCUAGCUUCAUGGUCUUCAAUAGAAUGAAUGACUUUGUUCCCAUUUUGUGUGUACCGUUAGGAGAGUGUUGGUGUUGUGUGCUUAUAUACUAGAGUUCAGAAUUUUUGUACAAUCUGUUAGCUGCUUAGUGGUGCUUGUUGUUGGAUCUCAUAUAUAUCAAGUGUCCAGAAGUUGGUUAUUGUAUAUGAUAUAAUUCAUUGUUUUUCUCUUAGAUGAGUGGACAUCCUUGUGUUUUGUACCGUUGAUCUGGUUUUCUAGACAGCACUGAGACAACCUUGAAGUUAAUUACACCUGUGGCUCAUUCUUUUUAUGACGUGAAUUAUAUUACCAUUAUAAUCAUAGCACAAUUUGAUGAUAAUGAGGCUUAUAUGCCCAAAUAAAUUGCCAACAAUAAUUACUUUGCAGGUCUUAUGUUAUUCCUCUAGGUAUUUUAAAUUACAUUUACAAAUACAUGCAUAGUUACUUUGGAAUUGAUGCCUGAAAAGCUUACAUAUCUUAUAAGGAAAGUAGCACAAGUAUGUUUAAAUGGAGUCUGGACUAUAUAGGAGGCUCUCCUAUCCCUCACAGUCCUUGAAGAAGUUUUGAUGCAUUCGAUCGUAGUGUGUCUGUCAAUCGUCAGUUAAGGAGAUUCUUCUAAUAUCAAAAUUUAG